UUCAGUUCUAAAACAGAGAAGAUUCGCUGUUUCGGUCAAUUUCGUUCAGUAUUUUGAUAAUUGCGUGAUGGAAUGUUUGAAUCAUUUUUCGAGUGAAAAUUGAAAGAGUUCUCACUUGUGCAGAUUUGCUGGUGUCCUCUGUCUCGAAUGAUAGUAAACGGAAUAUCUUGGCACUGCGGAUCGGACAAAUCAAGCAAUCUGAAAGCAACACCUUGGUAUUUAGGAGUGUGCUGCGGGGGAUUUCCUGCAGGGGGUGACAGACACAAUGACUACCGGUGGGCGUCGAGAGAUCACGUAUGCAUGUCAGCUGAAGUUCACAAAUAUCCACGAAUAAAGGCGCCGCGAACAAACUGGCCCAGGAUCUGACUGCCUGCAGUGUUUGCUUGUGGUAACCCAGUAACCAAGUCAUACCACUCGGCUUCUGAGAAGACCAGGUGCCUCCCCGUCCAUUCUCACUACCCAUCCCCUCC